rnacentral:lncRNA from 1 species
AGGCCAAUCACCACCACACAUGACGGGAGAUGGUGGCAUUAGAAGCGAUGGAGUCUUCCCCUCAGGUAACGAGGGCACGUUGUCUCCUAGCUCAGUCGCAAGUCGCUCAGCAGUGUCCGUUAAACCAUGAACCGAAGCAGUGAUAUAAGCGAGAGGCAAAUGACCAGCAUUCUCAAGUAUCUUGACACGCUCUUUAACAUCUCCUAGGUAGAGAGCAUUGUGAAACUGACCCAUUACAUUGUUCUUCACUUCUGCAAUCUUCAUCAACUUCGAAAGCUUGUCCAACUUACCGGUAAUGAGGUAAAGAAAAGAUAACCUCUCAAAGUUCUUUGUCUGCUGGUACGCAAAUUCAACAAUUCCAGCAUUACCUUGGCGAAGAGCCUCCACUCCAAGUCUAUACCACUGCUCUUUCUCAUUAAUCUCUGUAGCGGAUGCAACAGCGACGCUGAUGUUGCCACUUUCAAGAGCCAGGUUGAAUCGGACUCUCUCGUCUUCAACAAAAUGGAGGGCAACUUCAGGAAACCCUUUCUGCCGCAGGUAAGCAAUCAUAGCCUGUCCACAUAACUGGGAGUUCUUUAUCAUGCUCAUGACAUGAUCAUAUCUCUUUCUCAGCAGUGCAAGCUUGAAAAUGUAUUCAGUUGCAUUGAUGGUGAUUGCCCUGUUUUUCCCAUCCCGGUCCAAGCAAAAGGUUGUGUUUCCAGAAACCUUGGUGAUAUAGAUAGGGACAUCCAGGGUUCGGAUGAUCCCACUAUCUCCAUUAGGAAGACAGUACUUGAUAUGGUUCAAAGUUGUGUAGAUGAAGACACCAUUGUCAUCCCAAGCUCCACUCUUCACACGUAUUGUCUCAUGAAGUGUGCACUGAAGGACAAGUUUUUUGCUCGCAAUAAUGAUAGUGUGUUUGCUGAGCAAAGCAACAUUCUCCAUAUCAUUGGACCAAACAACAUGCCUAACAAACGGUGUCUGAAGUUCACCAAGAACAAGCCUUUGCUGAAGGUCAAAUAUCACCACUUUAUCCUCUGAUCUACAAAGCAAAUUUCCAGUCCCAGCAUAAAAGAUAGCAUCUGUGGGUAUAGGCAGAGAACUCUUCUUAACCACCUCAUUCUUGAGAUUCUUGACUAGCACCUGGCUGGUGCUUUUCUCAAGAACAGCAAAGCGAUUACGGGCAAUGAAUACAGCAGAACCACCUGUCCCCCUCUUUGCAUCUUGCACAACGUCACUCCUGCCAACACUAUCUUUCGGUAUGAUGUACAACUCGUACGAACCACCAUCCACAUCUGAGCUGAUCAGAACUGCAUUUUCUGUCGGACUGUAUGAUAGAGUCCUUGGACUUUGAUUCAAGCUUGGUGUACCAGGACGCCGUAUAGGGAUAACUUGGGCAUCUUUCUGAGUUGAAUAUUCGUAGAACCUCAAAAAUCUAUCUUUGGCAUAGAACAGAGAAUCACCACUCACAGCAAACGCAGGACGUUCUCUCUCAAGUUUGAACACGAUCAUACCAUUGUCAUGCCCCGCUGCCAGUAAAUUGAUCUCAGGGUGAACUGCAAGAACCCAGAACCGAUCAUGUUCACGGCGAAAUGUUUGGAUUCCAGUUCGCUUGGUAGCAUCCCAGACACGAAUACUUUUGUCCUCAGAGUUGGAUACAAUUAUGUCCUGUUUUGCAUGGAACAUAACAGAUGAAACGUUAUUCAUGUGACCUCGCAGUGUAUCCACCUCCCAAGCUUUAGUUUCUGCAAUAAAAUUGAAAAGAAGGCAUUAAUUACAUCAGCUCCGCUAUUAUAAGAACUGCAGUUUAGUGUCCAAAUGAAGGUUUAUAAAUAAAUAAAAAAGAGAGACUUCGAAAGUAAAAAUACCAUUCAUACGCCACAGCUUCACUUGGCGGUCAUCUGCACCAGAGACGAUGAGAGGAAGAGUGGGAUGAAAAGAAGCCCAGUUAACUCCUCUAUCAUGACCCUCGAGGACAUACUUAACAAUAGCGUCAACACCACCAAAAAGAUCAGAGUUCAUCUGUGUAAAUCGCAUGAGGUCAUCAGCAGGAGAUACUGUCUUCUUCUUAAGGGAAGCAAUAUCCCAGACACGGACCGUCUGAUCCAAAGAUGCUGAUACGACCAGGUCUUCUUUUGGAUGGAAAGAAGCACACAUGACAUAAUGAUUGUGGCCAGUCAACACAGAUAUACAAGUCCGUGACUGCCAGUUCCAAAUGCGGAUAGUCUGAUCGUCACUAGCACUCACAAUCCAUGGGUUCUCGUGGUGAAAUUGGACUGUGCGGAUAUAGUCGAGAUGGCCGAGAAGGGUGAAAAGGCACCUGUGUGUUUUGUGGUUCCAAACUUUAAUCUUGUAAUCAUCACCUGCAAACACACAUUGUUGUCAAUGCCACCAACUACAUAUGAGUAAUCUUCUUGAAGAGGAAUAGGAUAUAGUCGUAAAGAAGAAGAAUCCAAGAGAAUUACAUUUACAUGGUUUCAUUCUUUCUUAUCAAAACACACUACUAAGCACACCAUGAGAUCUAAUUCAGUCCAAUUAUCCAGAAACCAUAUCUUAUGCAAAAAAAAAAAAAAACUUAUGAUAAGCAUUUAUCACUGCAGCUUGGACUACAUGGGAUCCAGUAAACCAAGGAAAAUCAACAAACAAUCCUCUUCAAAGACAUCAAGCUAGAUCUAUAAAUCAAGAACACUACUGAGCAGACUGUUCACGGUAUUAUAUAUAUAUGAUAUUUUUAUAAAUGCGGACUUGUAGCUCAAAGGUAAUGUCGAGAACAAAGAAUGAUACCUCCGGAGACGAAGAGAGGCUGAGAAUUGUGAAAGUGAACACCACGAACUGGACCUUCGUGCUCGUCGAACCGAUCGAUUAAAGUACCCAUACGAUAAUCCCAGAGCUGGAUCACACCACUGUGCAAGCUGGCGAGGAUCCAUGGUCGCUUCGGGUGGAAGGUGAGGCCCUUAACUCUGUUACUCUUCGUCUCAAAUUUCGUCAACAUAAUUUCCCAGAUCUCAGCUCUACACAAUCUAGAAUGAAAGAAUGAAAACAGUCGUUUCAGGGAAAACCAAACCUAAGAGGGAAAUUUAAGACAGGAAACAUGGAUAGACUAGAAAUCCUACUGUGGAUUCGAAGAAGAACGGGUAAACAAAGACCUAGGAGAUGAUCACGAAUGAAGAAGGAUCAACUCGAAAGUCAGAGUUGCUCUUUGUAUGAACUUAACAAGAUUGCUUGAGAGAUAAGUAAUCGUUUGAAGAAAAUAGUUUAUUUUGAUUUAUAUAAGAAAUCACAGAUAAUAUUAAAACCUAAUGAGAAAAGGAAAAAUAAAAGAUAAUGAUAAACUCAGAAGAAAAAAAAGGAAAACUAAAGCUUUGUGACUUAUCUCUUAAUUAUUUUUUAAUACUUUUUAAGUAGUAAAUAUGAGCUAAGAGACUUGUUAAGAGAUUUCAACAUUUAAGUGCUCCAAGCAAGUUUCUUAAUUAAAGAUUCUUAAAAAAAAUAUAUGAAAAGGAAGAACAUGAGAAGGAGAAGGAAGAACAAAGACUUCUUGUGAAUUAACUUUCAUUACAUGGGAUGAAUACCCAUUCACGUUAAACAACUCAAACCUCAUCCGCAUCAAAACAUCUUAAGAUUUAACAAGGAAGAGAUGGAGACUGUUUUGCAAUAUUACCUGUCCCUUUAAAUUAGCUGCAGUUUGAGUUCCAACUUCGAGUGUUUGCUCUACCACUUUUCUGUAACUUACCUGUUUAGAGCGCUCAAUGGCUUGAUCGGUCUCAUCCAUUCUUUUCAUUCCAGCAUCAACAAACUCCUGGUUUGACAUAGCUAUCUAUACAUAAAAAGACAUAAGUGCCAUGCCUUUACUGGGUUUCACAUUCCCAAAAUAAUCUACUUCAUGCCAAGUUCAAACAUGAUAUUUUCAUUAAGACAGACCUAUGCCUUAAUCUCGGAAUAAUACACAUGAACAACAAGUUGGAUAUAAUAAUCUAGAAAUUAUACUAGACUACUAACCUAAGAGCAUAAGUUACUAGUCCAGUAAAUUCAAGUGAAAAUAGCAUCAAUGAGCCUCCUAAGAAGUCAAUCUCAUGAUGUUCUAGGCAAGCUCAUACUUGGCAUCAAUUAAAUAGACAAGUAUGCGUAAGGACUCUCACAUGAAGCCAUUUGAACAUUUUCUUCAGCUGCAGGUUCGCCACUGCUUGCUUUGUCUAGUUGAAUCCUUGAUCUUAUCCAACUUUUGGAAACCAUUCCUGCAAAAGAAAAACAGAUAAUGAUAUGUGAAUCUUUCGUCUUCACUGAAGAAGAAUCUUUUCAGGUGACACCUCUAUCUAUCUCUUAUACUCAUCAAACAAAAACACACAUUAAUCCAAAAUAAUAAGCACUUAAAUUCUAACCACGAAAUCUUUAUUUACUCUCAUAUGAGAUUCAGUGAUACUCAAACAUAUCACAGUGCUCUCUGUAACCAAUAUAGAGAGAGAAUGAAACCAUACGCGAGGGCUCGAAAAUGGUCACGGAUUUCACCAUGGAUCUGCUCUAAUCGAGGGCUCAUCGGGCGAUUCGAAGCCAUUUCGCCGGAGAAUCUGAGAUUCCGACGAUAACCAAACUGGAACCCUCCUCAGCCGGCGAACCCUUCACAGAAAUAUCUACCGUGGAACAAAAGCAGCACCGUAUCAAAACAAAAACAAAAACAAAAACCUUAGCUUGACGAGAAGUAAAGGUUGGGACUUUAUUUGUGAAAGACGAAACAGAGAGCCCCGUCUCUUCUGUGAAGAGGAAGAAGUGAAACAACGGCAAAUGUGAUGUGAGACAAGAAGAAGAAGCUGUAUACAAGAACCCGUAUAAGAGCAUCCACAAUGGUGAUACCCAUUGUGGAGUCCUUAGGAUUAGAUUAGUAAUAUUUUUUUUUUUUUUUUUUUUUGAAUAGUUAAGGACUCUUGUGAAAAAUGUAUGUACAAUGAUGAUCCCAAAAUUAGAAUCCUUAAGAAUUAAAAAAUGGUUUUUUUAGUGAAAUAAAUUUUUCAUAUAUUAGAUGAAUAAAUACCAUAAAUUAACAUAAAAUACAAUAAUUAAACAUAAAAUACAUUAAUUAAACAUAAAAAUACAACAAUUAAAGAUAAAAACAAUUAUUUAACAUAAAUAUAGAAAAAUUCCUAAUCUUCAUCACCAAAUUUAUUCCAAAUAUUUUGAAUUAAAUCAUUUUUCAAUCGUUCAUGCGUUUGACUAUCACGUAGAUCAUUCCGCGUGGGAAAUAUAUUAUUCAUAUUAGUUGGCAUCUCGGUUUCCACCUGUGAACAUCUGGGGACGUCUCCUUCUUCAAAUUCAGAUAUAUCAAUAGGAGAGUAUCCAUCCCGUUCAUCUUCGACAAUCAUAUUGUGGAGUAUGAUACAUGCUCUCAUAAUCUUCCCUAUCUUUGCUCUAUCCAAUGUUUUUACCGGGUUUCUCACAAUCGCAAAUCGAGCUUGCAAUACUCCAAAAGCCCGCUCCACAUCUUUUCGGGUUGCUUCUUGAACUUUAGCAAAUAACUCUUGUUGAGGAGUUUGAGGGAGGGUGAUAGAUUGGAUAAAUGUUGACCAUUUUGGAUAUAUACCGUCUGUGAGGUAGUACCCCAACUUAUACAUGUGUCCGUUGACCAUGUACUUUACCCUCGGAGCUCGACCUUCUAAAAGGUCAUCAAAAACAGGAGACCGAUCGAGGACAUUGAUAUCAUUUAACGUACCUGGGGGACCAAAAAAAGCGUGCCAUAUCCAAAGAUCUUGUGAAGCAACAGCCUCUAAGACAAUUGUCGGUUUUCCUGAUCCACGUGUGUACUGUCCUUUCCAAGCGGUUGGGCAAUUUUUCCACUCCCAGUGCAUACAGUCAAUGCUCCCGACCAUCCCAGGAAACCCUCGUUUCUCCCCAAUAUCGAGUAGUCGUUGUAGAUCCUCGGGGGUGGGUCGUCGUAGAUACUCUUCUCCAAAUAAUUGUAUUAUUCCGUCAGUGAAAUUAUGUAAACACGAAAGUGCAGUGGACUCACCAAGUCGGAGAUAUUCGUCAACCGCAUCAGCCGCAGAACCAUAAGCAAGCAUACGAAUAGCUGCCGUACAUUUUUGUAAUGGAGAAAGACCGAACCUCCCGGUUGCAUCUCUUCUUUGCUGAAAGAAUGGAAACCACUCUGAUAGGCCAUGGACAAUACGCAAGAAUAAUUCCUUAUUCAUGCGGAAACGGCGUCUGAAUAAAUGUGCCGGAAAUGUACAAUCUUCGCUGAAGUAGUCAUUCCAUAAGCGGACGUGUCCUCCUUCGCGGUUUCGUUCCACAUAAGCACGUCUACUUUGCGGUAUGGAUUGGGCCUCCACUAUAUUGUUGAAAGUAUCUUCAAAGAUUUCAUCGAAAACUUCGUCCAAUCUCUCUUCGAAUUCAUCCGAUGAAGAUGAUGACAUUUCUAGAUAUCCUGUUUCAUAAAUAAUUUAAUUGUACAAGUUUUUAAUCUAUUAGUUAAAAUUAUGUAACAGAUUCACAUUUCCGUUUUAUCAAUCUUACUCCAAAUUUAUAGUUAAAAUAUUUAUGUAAUAGAGUAAUUAUAAGUUACUGACUCGCAUGUCCAAAUAAGUUAAUAGAGUAACAUUCCGUAAUAGAGUAAUAGAGUAAUGAUUAACUUCACAUAUUUGAGCAAAAUCUAUAUAGUUGUUAUGAUUAACUUCACAUAUUUAUGAUUAACUACACAUAUUUUUGACUCGCAAUAAUGACAGAGAAGCUGAUGAGAAGUUAGCUAAAACAUUAAACAAAGACUGCUGAUGAAAGAGAACAUAAAGAGAAGUUACCUAUAACUUCUUCGAUUACAACAACUUGAAAUUGAGGCCGAGUUUGUAGCAACAAGAUUACAGCAAGAAGAUUACACCUUUAAUAGAUAGGAAAGAAGUUUGAUAGAGAGAAACGCAAACAGAGAGGGUUACUUAUACUACUACUACUUCAACAUAAACCCGUGACUCGCAAUACAACAACACACUUCGAGAUUCCAAACGCACCCGUGACUUGGUUCACAUGUCCUGCUGCUGUACCUGAAACAUGAGAAAAGACAAGUAACCUAUCUAUACAUGGAAGCUAAACAAUACAAAGAACCUAUCUAUACAUGGAAGCUAAACAAUACAAAGAAAACAAAUAGAUGACAAAAUCUUCCCUGAAAACAAUUGGUGUUUUGAAACCCAAAACGAAUUGAAACCCAAACUACAAACAAAAUGAUCCCCAAUUGAACAUAAACGAAUUCAAAACAAAUUCCAAAAUCGAAACUUUUAGAAACCCUAAAUCGAAGAAAUCCCCAAUUCGAUUCGACGGAAAUAGGAACCAAAGAGGGUCACGAGAACAACAACGAAGCUAACCUAUGCUUAAAUCUAACGCAGAGAAACGGGAUUUGCCUUUGAAGAUAACGGAAGCCUACGAUCGACGACGAAGAGAAAUCGCCUCUUCACUUGAGCUCUGAAUUUUUUUUAAUGAUGCUCUAAGUCGCGUCUUAAUUACAUUCAUUUAUUUAUUUGCUUUUUUUUUCUUUUUCUUUUUUGCAUUGAGAUAAAAAGCCUCAUGGGCUGUUACAAGGUAAAAAUUUUGAAAAAAAAAAUACAUUCCCAUUAAAUUUACAAUUUAAGUCCAUUAACCUAACCUAACAUACAAAUCAGAUUAACUUCUAAAAAUAUCCAUUCUGUUAAAAUACAAUAUUAGAACGAAUAUAUAAAAAUAUAUUUUCAAUAGUUAAUUUUGAAUAUGAAUAGCUUAUAUAGUUUGUGACCAAAUUUAAUAUAACAAAAACACUCUUAGAAUAAAUCUAUAGAAGUAUAUUUUCAAAGCAGUUAAAAAAGCGAGAUGUAAUUUUUGGUUGACCAAAUUCUAUAUAAUAAAAAUUAUAACUUAUGUACAUAUUUAUAUAUUUGUAUGUUUUUAUAUAAUUUAUAAGAAAAAACUGUACAAUACUUAUUUUACUUAUUUUUAGGUUGGAUAAAAAUUUUGAACUUUUGAAAUACUCUUACAUAUGAUAUGUAUAAAUAUUUGUCUACAUAGUUGGAAAGACAUCAAUAAAGUCAAACGCACUUAGCACAUGUAAAAAUCUCCAGUGUUACUUAAAAACACUCGCAAAAAUGUCACAGUAACGGUUUUCUCUAACAACAUAAAAAAUGCGACCAAUCGUACUACAAGCAAAAAAAAUUAUAUAUUUCAUAUAUAAAAUCUUAAAAUUUCAUAUUUUCGAUCAUUAAAAUGUUCUCUACGUUUAAGUGGGUUUCGGUUAUUAUCACAUUCAAUGACCCAUUAAGUUUGAAAUUAAAGUUUCGUUUUUCUUUAAAUUAGCCCAUUUGAGUUGGGUUUUAAAAGCUAAUGGAGAUGUCGGAGCUAUAACUGUGUCUGAUCAGAAUGUUAAUGUGCUGCACAAUGUUUAUAUUAAUUGGAAUAAGGGAAUAGCAAAUACGCAUAAGUCAAAAUUACCAACAUCUCUGAGAAACAAAUGCAAAACAUUGCAAAACUCAGCAAAAUUCGUCUAUAUUUAUUAUUCUAUCAUCAUACUGAUCGACAUUUAAAAUCCAAAGAAACGUAAUUGAAAUGUUCUGGAGAAUGUAAAUAUAAAACCAAACAAAACAAAUUAUAGAGCAAGCUAAAGUUCUCUCAUGCGUUGUCACUAAGAUAAAGAAACAACUGAAAGACUCAAAAGAGCAACAGAACCUGCAACGAAGAAAUUCACAAAUAAGACUUUUGUAAGCGCACAAUCACAAAAACCAAAAGCUCAACAAUCUUCUUCCGUUAUUAGAGCAUCUAGUACUUACCUGACGUUUGAAGAGGAUGAUUAAUUGAUCACCGGACCUGAGACGGCGAGCAUAUCAAACCAGAUGCGUCUGCGCCAAUGACUGCAAGAUCACAGACCCCGCAUAUGUUUCCUUCCUGGCUUGGUACAAACCUGGCGGUGCAGUACGGACAGGAAACGUCUUUCUGACCUCUGUAGAUUGGGACAUAGGUUGACCCGCAUAUAACAAACGGGUUUCUGAAGUCGUAGUUGAGCUCGGUUGUAUCAGUCAUAUUGCGUUCAGCGGCUUGAACAAUUUGUCUAGCCGUCUUCGCCUGGCUCUCCACUGGGUUUGUUUCCAACAAUCUUUUGGCGAAGUUAUAGGCAGUAGCAAGGUUCUUUGACUUGUAGCAGACUCCCAUUGCACUAAACAGCGCAAGUCGUAAGUGAGGUAGUUGGAGGUUGCAGUGUGUGAAGUAAGCAGCGAGCUCCUGCUGCCUCACUGGAUCAUCUUUCGUCUCUCUUCUCUUAAGCUCCAUUUUAAGACCGAGGACAUAUUCUUUAACGAUAAUGACCAAUUCCUUAACUUCAUCGACUUCACUUCUUGACUCGACCACCACUAGAGGGAUGGUGUGGAGGAUAGAGAGAAAGAGCCGAAGAGCCUCAGUCAAUUUUCCACUUGUUGUGGCUUUGUAGCCAGAUUUGAGCUUCUCUUCUUGCUGAGAGAAAUCAUAAACAAGAGCUGGUGGGCCACGGACGUUGGGACUGUUUGACUCGCUCCAUCCACGCUCAAUGGCAAGUGGAACCACAGGAGAUGAAGAAAAAGCACGCAGGUAGCUAUGGCUGCCACUGAACAAAUCAAUAAACAUCGACUUCAAAGGGGCAAAGUUUUUUAUGCCAAGCUGUCUGUUGAGCAGACGCAUUGCAGUGUCGAAGCUUCCAGCUGCAGCUUGCUCAGCAGCAAGGGAGGAUUUCUGGCUCCAAAUAUGGCUUACGGGCAUACCUUGAGUAGGUGUCACGAAGACGGAUGAACGUGCGUUAGCAGAGGCCUUAGGAGUGUCAAGCUCUGGUGGGAGGUCCAAGCCCUCAAGUUCACCCCAUCCACCUUCUUCAUCAUUAUCUUCUUCCGCUCCUUCUGCUUCCGCCAAAAUGGCUUCGAUGUCUCUGUUCUCCAUUCCAUCAACAUCGACCAUGUCAAGUCCCUCACCCCAAUCACCACCAACAUCUUCUUCAUCUUCAUCAACAGCCCCUCCUCUGGCUGCACUCUCAAGUCCGCCUUCAAAUAUUCCCUUCAUCACUCUUAGAAGAGGCCAAUCACCACCACACAUGACGGGAGAUGGUGGCAUUAGAAGCGAUGGAGUCUUCCCCUCAGGUAACGAGGGCACGUUGUCUCCUAGCUCAGUCGCAAGUCGCUCAGCAGUGUCCGUUAAACCAUGAACCGAAGCAGUGAUAUAAGCGAGAGGCAAAUGACCAGCAUUCUCAAGUAUCUUGACACGCUCUUUAACAUCUCCUAGGUAGAGAGCAUUGUGAAACUGACCCAUUACAUUGUUCUUGACUUCUGCAAUCUUCAUCAACUUUGAAAGCUUGUCCAACUUACCGGUAAUGAGGUAAAGAAAAGAUAACCUCUCAAAGUUCUUUGUCUGCUGGUACGCAAAUUC